AUUGAACGCUGGCGGCAGGCUUAACACAUGCAAGUCGAGCGGGGAAAGGUAGCUUGCUACCUGACCUAGCGGCGGACGGGUGAGUAAUGCUUAGGAAUCUGCCUCUUAGUGGGGGACAACAUUCCGAAAGGAAUGCUAAUACCGCAUACGCCCUACGGGGGAAAGCAGGGGAUCUUCGGACCUUGCGCUAAUAGAUGAGCAUACGUCAGAUUAGCUAGUUGGUGGGGUAAAGGACUACCAAGGCGACGAUCUGACGCGGGUCUGAGAGGAUGAUCCGCCACACUGGGACUGAGACACGGCCCAGACUCCUACGGGAGGCAGCAGUGGGGAAUAUUGGACAAUGGGCGAAAGCCUGAUCCAGCCAUGCCGCGUGUGUGAAGAAGGCCUUUUGGUUGUAAAGCACUUUAAGCGAGGAGGAGGCUACUUGGAUUAAUACUCUAGGAUAGUGGACGUUACUCGCAGAAUAAGCACCGGCUAACUCUGUGCCAGCAGCCGCCGUAAUAC
rnacentral:rRNA from 1 species